rnacentral:rRNA from 1 species
GCAGUCGAACGGCAGCACGGGUGCUUGCACCUGGUGGCGAGUGGCGAACGGGUGAGUAAUAUAUCGGAACGUGCCCUAGAGUGGGGGAUAACGUAGCGAAAGUUACGCUAAUACCGCAUACGAUCUAUGGAUGAAAGUGGGGGAUCGCAAGACCUCAUGCUCCUGGAGCGGCCGAUAUCUGAUUAGCUAGUUGGUGGGGUAAUAGCCCACCAAGGCGACGAUCAGUAGCUGGUCUGAGAGGACGACCAGCCACACUGGGACUGAGACACGGCCCAGACUCCUACGGGAGGCAGCAGUGGGGAAUUUUGGACAAUGGGGGAAACCCUGAUCCAGCAAUGCCGCGUGUGUGAAGAAGGCCUUCGGGUUGUAAAGCACUUUUGUCAGGAACGAAACGGUGGGGGCUAAUAUCCUCUGCUAAUGACGGUACCUGAAGAAUAAGCACCGGCUAACUACGUGCCAGCAGCCGCGGUAAUACGUAGGGUGCAAGCGUUAAUCGGAAUUACUGGGCGUAAAGCGUGCGCAGGCGGUUGUGCAAGACAGAUGUGAAAUCCCCGGGCUUAACCUGGGAAUUGCAUUUGUGACUGCACGGCUAGAGUGUGUCAGAGGGGGGUAGAAUUCCACGUGUAGCAGUGAAAUGCGUAGAUAUGUGGAGGAAUACCGAUGGCGAAGGCAGCCCCCUGGGAUAACACUGACGCUCAUGCACGAAAGCGUGGGGAGCAAACAGGAUUAGAUACCCUGGUAGUCCACGCCCUAAACGAUGUCUACUAGUUGUCGGGUCUUAAUUGACUUGGUAACGCAGCUAACGCGUGAAGUAGACCGCCUGGGGAGUACGGUCGCAAGAUUAAAACUCAAAGGAAUUGACGGGGACCCGCACAAGCGGUGGAUGAUGUGGAUUAAUUCGAUGCAUCGCGAAAAACUUACCUACCCUUGACAUGUACGGAACCUGCUG